rnacentral:rRNA from 1 species
AUUGAACGCUGGCGGCAGGCCUAACACAUGCAAGUCGAACGGUAACAGGAAACAGCUUGCUGUUUCGCUGACGAGUGGCGGACGGGUGAGUAAUGUCUGGGAAACUGCCUGAUGGAGGGGGAUAACUACUGGAAACGGUAGCUAAUACCGCAUAACGUCGCAAGACCAAAGAGGGGGACCUUCGGGCCUCUUGCCAUCGGAUGUGCCCAGAUGGGAUUAGCUAGUAGGUGGGGUAACGGCUCACCUGGGCGACGAUCCCUAGUUGGUCUGAGAGGAUGACCAGCCACACUGGAACUGAGACACGGUCCAGACUCCUACGGGAGGCAGCAGUGGGGAAUAUUGCACAAUGGGCGCGAGCCUGAUGCAGCCAUGUCGCGUGUAUGAAGAAGGCCUUCGGGUUGUAAAGUACUUUCAGCGGGGAGGAAGGGAGUAAAGUUAAUACCUUUGCUCAUUGACGUUACCCGCAGAAGAAGCACCGGCUAACUCCGUGCCAGCAGCCGCAGUAA